ACCAACUCAAACAGCCACUGUGGAGUCUCCCCGCAGCUCCCGUGGGACGGUGGAUCCACGAGAGGAAGGACACAUGUGGGCACUGCAAAGGAAACAGAAGUUUUACAUUGAUGGUAGCAGACAUUACUGGAAGAGGUGCCCCAAGCCGGUAUCAACAUCAGGCUGUGGUUCCAGCCUGAAGACUCUGGCCAUGAGCGGACCAUCUCCCCCCACACAGUGUGGAAGCAUUCGGGCUCGACCUUCUAUCAAUGUGCAAGCGGUCCAUCUAUUCCACUGAGAUGUUUCGAUGACGAAUUCUCACCUUCUUUGGAAUAAGCAGGCUAUGUUAACCAGGGGUAGGAGGGGUGGCACACAAAAACCCCAUCCUGGAAAUUCUUUUCUCAGAAUUACACAUGUUGGCACUGUAUCCUGGAACCUCAUUCUCAGCAGAUAGUUGCCAGUAGAGCAAAACAUGCUGUCUAGAAAAUCUAAUAACAAAAUAUUCAUUCGGUGCAUUAUCCUACCUCCCUAGAUAACAAAGGACAUCAAAUUAUCAUCAGAUCUUUCCGUCCAGGCAAUUCAUAGCUCCCUUCUACUUCGGGGUCUGCAGAAGUUCACCCACUGCAAAGUCAGCACCACUGGGAUAUUACCAGAAGAGGGCAGAGGGAUGUGGGUAGUAGUCUUGGUUUGUGACUUUAUAUAAUUCUGACAUUUGGUUUCCCCAGAUGCCUCCUCAAUUAAUCUGGAGAGGGGGCUGGAACAGAAAUUGCUCAUGCCCACAGACUGUUUGGCCCCAGGGGGCAAACCCUCUGGUCAGACUUUCACAAUAAAGAAAGAUCCAGGGACACUGGCCAUGACAAGGACAGGGUCAAUGUGUGGAUGUUCUCAAAUGCAAUACUUGGUUAUUUCAUUGUGCAAGAAAACAUGGAUUAUGCAUUUCAUAAUUAAGUCAUUUCUAUAUUUUAAAUUCAUAUUAAUAGAAAUUGAAUGCUAUUUAUUUAAAUAACUUUUAAUAAAUGUUAUUCUCAGCAAUGUUAUAUAUUUA